AUCCAAGGAAUGUUCAACUAAGUUCGGCACGUCCUGUGCCAACGUUAAACUGAUCGUCGCUCUGAAUG
rnacentral:sRNA from 1 species